CCUGAAUCUGGCGCGGGCAUGACUGGAGGACCAAGUGCUAGCACUUGCAGAAAUUCCAUGCGCCGAAAAAGAGCUCCUAGCAGAAUUUUGGCAGAGCGUGCAGCCAGUAAUGAAGGGAUAGAUGCACCUGACAGAGGGCUUCUCUCUACAGGAUCCUGGGCCAUUAGUGCUUCGUCGUGGGUCACAGUGCAACAUCAGAUGUCUGCAAAGCUCAUCAGUUUUCCUUGGACUAGGGUGGCCCCUAAAUCAUGGCUGCAGCUG